UGGCCAUUUUAAGGUGAAACACCGGUUCUUGUUCGAUCAUCGAAGUUAAGCAAUGUCUAGCCUGAUCAGUACUCAGAUGAGUGACCGUUAGGUAAUGCUAGGUGCUGUAAG